rnacentral:pre_miRNA from 1 species
UGGACAGAUUAUUGUAUUCGAUUGUAUUCACGGCGUGAAACAGGGGAUUACACUGUUUUUAAACGGAAAAUGAAUCAAUUAACAUAAUAAACUCCU